GCCCCCUUCGGGGGGCAAGUAGAGUGGCGCACGGGUGAGUAACACGUAGGUAAUCUACCUUUGGAUGGGGAAUAACAACCGGAAACGGUUGCUAAUACCGCAUAAUGCAGCGGCACCUAAUGGUGACAGUUGUUAAAGCGGGGGAUCGUAAGACCUCGCGUCUGAAGAGGAGCCUGCGGCAGAUUAGCUAGUUGGUAGGGUAACGGCUUACCAAGGCGAUGAUCUGUAGCCGGCCUGAGAGGGCGGUCGGCCACACUGACACUGACAUACGGGUCAGACUCCUACGGGAGGCAGCAGUCGGGAAUUUUGGGCAAUGGGCGAAAGCCUGACCCAGCAACGCCGCGUGAAGGAUGAAAUCCCUCGGGAUGUAAACUUCGCAAGAACGGGAAGAAUAAGUGAGAGUUAAUAUCUCUUACGAUGACGGUACUGUUUGUAAGCUCCGGCUAACUCCGUGCCAGCAGCCGCGGUAAUACGGGGGGAGCAAGCGUUGUUCGGAUUUACUGGGCGUAAAGGGCGCGUAGGCGGCCACCGCAAGUCGACUGUGAAAUCUCCGGGCUUAACCCGGAAAGGUCAGCCGAUACUGCGGGGCUAGAGUGCUGAAGGGGCAACUGGAAUUCUCGGUGUAGCGGUGAAAUGCGUAGAUAUCGAGAGGAACACCUGCGGCGAAGGCGGGUUGCUGGGCUGACACUGACGCUGAGGCGCGAAAGCUAGGGGAGCGAACGGGAUUAGAUACCCCGGUAGUCCUAGCCUUAAACGAUGAAUGCUUGGUGUCUGGGGUUUUAUAGUCCCCGGGUGCCGU
rnacentral:rRNA from 1 species